CCUCUCAUAGCUCAGUUGGAAGAGCGAAGCAUUGUAAUCGCCUGAGCCUGUGUGAACAAGCCACUUUCAAGCCUGCUUAGGUCGCCCGUUCGAUCCGGGCUGAGAGGA